CCUACGGGGGGCUGCAGUGGGGAAUAUUGGACAAUGGGCGAAAGCCUGAUCCAGCCAUGCCGCGUGUGUGAAGAAGGCCUUCGGGUUGUAAAGCACUUUCAGUGGGGAAGAAAGCCUUGGGGCUAAUACCCUCGAGGAAGGACAUCACCCACAGAAGAAGCACCGGCUAACUCCGUGCCAGCAGCCGCGGUAAUACGGAGGGUGCGAGCGUUAAUCGGAAUUACUGGGCGUAAAGCGCGCGUAGGCGGUCUGAUAAGCCGGUUGUGAAAGCCCCGGGCUCAACCUGGGAACGGCAUCCGGAACUGUCAGGCUAGAGUGCAGGAGAGGAAGGUAGAAUUCCCGGUGUAGCGGUGAAAUGCGUAGAGAUCGGGAGGAAUACCAGAGGCGAAGGCGGCCUUCUGGACUGACACUGACGCUGAGGUGCGAAAGCGUGGGUAGCAAACAGGAUUAGAUACCCCAGUAGUC
rnacentral:rRNA from 1 species